rnacentral:rRNA from 1 species
AACUGGGGAUAAUACCGGAUAUUAGGCUAUGGCUGGAAUGCUUUGCCUUUGAAAUGUUUCUUGUAUUCGCCUAAGGAUAGAUCUGCGGCUGAUUAGGUCGUUGGUGGGGUAAUGGCCCACCAAGCCUAUGAUCGGUACGGGUUGUGAGAGCAAGAGCCCGGAGAUGGAACCUGAGACAAGGUUCCAGACCCUACGGGGUGCAGCAGGCGCGAGACCUCC